rnacentral:tRNA from 3 species
GCCGAGGUAGCUCAGGUAGUAGAGCACGCGCCUGAAAAGCGUGGUGUCGCCAGUGCAAGUCUGGCCCUCGGCGCCU